GACAUUGCAACUGAUGACUUAAUUUUUUCCCCAUCAGAUCGACCCUGUUGAUCUUACUAACAUUAACCGUAAGCCAGUUUAGUCUGAUGCAGUGGC